AAUGGACAACUCAGAACACCACUCCGAAGCCCUGGGAAAAAAGUUCAUCUCUACAUUUGACUCCAUGGUCCUGUACUGGUGAAUGUGGCACCACUGGAGCGGUACUGCAGGAACCAUUGCUUUCCCAGAGCAGAUCACAAAAAGGUCUGCAGUGGUUCUUCUGAAGCAGUUUUUUAUGAAGGAGCAUUUGUAUGGACACCCGUGUUUUAGAUAAGAAACUGUGUGGUGAACACCACUGGAUAGUUAACACGAAAAUGAUUCAUUCCCACAGCACUGGCAAGUGCAGAGAUUUCCAAGCCCAGGCCCAAGCACGGAGGUUUUUUAAGCCUUAUUGAAGAGAGUGGGAAGUCUGUUAGAGUAAAAGGAAAGGCUCAUUCACCAAAUCUGGAUUGAGAAGGUCAGUAUGUAACUGUAGUAUUAGGGACUUCCUCCCAGACUCAUGGUAAGAGCACGAGUCCUUGUAUAGCACGAGUACUUCCUACACAAAACACCUAUAUCUGUGAUCAAGACAAUGACAAGGUAUGUUACAGAAAGAAGAAAGGCUUUCUUUCCGUGAAGAUGUCUGUGUGAUUUUUUUUUUUUCCUCUGAAAGAUAUUUGAGACUUUCAAUCACUGGCAAUGAAAUUAUAAUCUACUUGUCUCCUAAAAUAAAAAAU
rnacentral:lncRNA from 1 species